rnacentral:tRNA from 1 species
GAUCUAAGUAGUUUAGGAAAACACUAAUUUGUGGCAUUAGAGACGGCAUAUUGUAUUUGCCUUUAGAUC